rnacentral:rRNA from 1 species
GAAGUUUGGACCGUGUCUCAGUCCCAUUGUGGCUGAUCAUCCUCUCAAACCAGCUACUGAUCGUUGCCUUGGUGGUCCAUUACACCGCCAACAAGCUAAUCAGAUGCAGACUCAUCCCAGAGCACCGAAGUUUUCACGAAUACCAUUGCAGGUACGCGCAUAUGCGGUAUUAGCAGUCGUUUCCAACUGUUGUCCCCCACUCUAGGGCAGAUUCUCUACAUAUUACUCACCCGUCCGCCACUUUCUUCUGACCGAAGCCAGAUUCUCGUUCGACUUGCAUGUAUGAAGCACGCCGCCAGCGUUCGUCCUCGAGCCACGGAUCAAACUACU